UUUCAUAUUUUCAUUCUUUAAACUGUUAGCAAUAUGGUUGAGCUGAGAAGCUAUGCUGUAUUUAAAGGAGUGCUGUGUAGGAUUUAAUGGCACUUGGGUUUUAGUUGCAUAUUGUUAACCACCUUAAAACAUUUUGCUUCAUUUGUUACAGCGACCUCCGGGAAGCAUACAAACCCAGGAAGACCUGCCCAGAGCUAGAGUUUGUAUUUGUCUAUUCUGAGCCUCUGUGGCGGUACAACAUGGCAGAGCCUGUGGAAGAGGACUCGCUCCCUGUGAAGUUGAAAGGGCUUUUUCUAAGGCCUCAGCACUGUCACAGCUGGAUCCUGGUGAUGGAGCUUCGGUGUCACUUGUCAUGGCCCAGGUGUGUGGAGGGGUCUGCAGCCGCUCCAUGUUUCCUUUGAGGAAGGAGAGCAGAGUGGCAGGGGAGUGACUGGCCGGUUGACCGCUCUGGCUCUCCAGCAGCUGCACCAGGAAGUUGAUGUAGCGCAUUGCCAGGCGCAGGAUCUCGUUCUUGCUCAGCUUCUUCUCCGGAGGAUGUGUGGGGAUGAGCUUUCGGAGCUCGGCAAAGGCGGUGUUGACGUUGUGCUGGCGCCAGCGCUCCCUCGUGUUGGUGAACACCUUCCUGGUCAUGGUGUCGAGUGGAGCUGUGUUGAUUAAAUGAUUGACAGAUAAUCAGUCAGCAACUGUUUUUAUAAAUCGAAUCAUCAUUUCUGACAUCUGACCAGAUUUUCAGCUGUCAUAAUAAUGUGAUAAUCAGAGACUGAAUAUUUGACCUUUUUUUUAUUCCUUAUUGAACAAAAAUGGAGAUAAACAGCAGCAAUGGUAUUUUGCCACAUUUGUGAACACAUUUGAGUUCAUGAUAGAAAAUUAUACAUUUUUUUAAAUUCAUAAAUUAUAUCCAGAAUGUAUACAAAUUAGUGAGUUUUUAAAUGUAUUUGUUGCUAUAUCUGCUCCUGUUGCUGCCAUUAGAGGACUUACAGUAUGAUAAUAUAAUAAAACGUGUGAAAAUGUAUUCACAGGGUUACAGGUUAGAAUUGUUCAAAAAAGUGCUCUACAUUAUUUAAACGUCCUUUUAAUAGGAACAUUAACAUGUUUACUGCUUGGAAAUAGCUUAAAAUUUUGUUGAACAUUUUUUUAUUAGUCUGCAAAUAAUUUGAUUUCAUGGUAUAAAUUAACAUUGUUUAUUUACUACUAUACAACAAGAGUACAUAAUGUAUUCUUGUAUUACACCAGUUGUAGAAAGUCAUGGUCUAAAAAAAAUACCACAAAAUUGAAUGUCUCACCUGUGUGGUGUGUAUUUGUUUGCAGAAAGGUAAAGAAAUCUCAGCCGCAGUGUCGGUGGGUCAUCUGAGUCCAGAGGGUGUGAAUGUCCACUCAGUCACGUCUUCUCAUGCUCACUGAGGGAUCCUUAUGUCCGAGACGGGAGGAGAGCAAGAGAGAGAGAACUCACCACUGGGCCAGCUGCUCUGCAGGAAACCAUCUGGAUUGCCAAAGGAACUAGGGUCCAGUCUGAAGUCACUGUUUUCGUCUUGCAAUAUCAGUGUACUCGUGUGAUCUGGAUCACCUUGAGGACUUUGUGUGGCACCUCAGGGAGGAGCUCAUUCAGCUGUGGCAGCGAGGCUCCAAGCAACCACUGGAGGGUUGGCGCUCUCCUCAACAUGAGCUGACUAACCAGAGAGUUAAUGCAUGGGAACUGCAACAGACACUCUUCCUCCUGAUCCUUGGACUUCAUCCCAAACAGCACCAGAGAAGAAUAAACCAACACCAAGUUGCUGAAGGCUUCGCCAUAAAAUCUGCCAUCACAAAGCAGAGGCAGCAGUGGAGAAUCAUUCAUGAUGUAAUACUGUGGACCAAGCAGACUGGCCCGGAGAGUCAUACUCCACCACCAGACAGAAACUGUUCCAGGGGAAGUCUGGACCUAUGUGCUGCUCAAACACCACUGCACACACACUGUCAGACACACUGUUCAUACAGGAUAGGAGUGUGAAAAUUAAACUUUGUUAAAUAAAGCAACAUGAAAUAUUAACACACUUUCUUACUUUCUCAUGCUAUUGAAUCAAACUCACAACAGAGUGAAUAGGGAGAAUUUCUUUCACGUAGAAUUCACACAAAUAAAAAACUACCCACAACAAAAAAAGUGCCUGUACAUGGAAGAUCAUUCACUCAGGUAAAAUCUGGCAUCCAAAUUCAGCCAGCACCACAACAACUUAAUCAUCUCUUUGACUUUUUGAUUCAUUCAUACAUUUUGACCAAUGAUUUCUUUCUGUUUGUAUAGAUCCAAAUGUUUUUAUUACCUGCUGACCACACUGGCACCAUUCACUUUGGACUUAUUCUCCCCAGGACUCAGGACAGUCACCGUAGCACCUGAGAGAAUAAAACUCAAACAUAUUUGUACAACACUGCAUUAUCAUGCUUAUGUUACAAUUUGGCAAACACUGAAAAACUUAAGUCACUUUGACUUGCCAAAUAAAAGAGUGGCUCACCGGGAACUUGACUCAAGAUGUUGGUGAUUGUAGAUCUGUUGCUGUCAGGGUCAGUUGAUAAUAUGACAAGAAUCUACAGAAAGACAACCGGGAUUCAAGUGCUGGACAAACAAGCACUGAAUCAUUUUGGUAAAACAUGAGUGAAUGACAAAAUGUAACGAAAGAUUUUAUUUCCAUUAAAUGUAUUUAAUGUUUAUUACUUCAUACUCAUGAUCACAAUGACAAACACCCAGUCAGAAAUCUACACCUUUGAGUAACCAAAAUGCAAUACACUGACACAAUAUUUUCACAAUAAUUUUCUCGUGUUUUCAAUACUGACUUUGUCCAUGUUGCUCUGUCCUUUCCCGCUGUGCAGCCAUGAAGCCAGCAGCUGCUGCAGCUCCUGCAGUUUGAGGUCAGACUCCUUGUUCUUGCGACUGAGGAAGAGGAUGAUCUGCAGCCUCUUCGUCAGCUGCUCCAAAUUCUGCUCCAAACAUGUCUCAGCUGCCUUACUAAGUGUGGUGGACACAGCCUGCUCUGGAGGGAGGAAACUGUGCUUGGUCUGAAAGUCUUCACCACCUGUGACGGUGUCGUUCUUAUGAGCAGAAGACAAAGCUGCCAAAUCGGAGAACCUCACUUUAGGACUGGGAUCUUUGGCGUUUGCGGAAGCAGCAGGACUCAUCACGACGGGUCUUACUGUGGCUACAGUGGAUGGACAAAAAGAAGAAAAUUAAACAGAGAUGGUGUCUCCUGUUGAGCUCAGCAGUGGGUCGACCACAGGAAGAGUCCUCAGCCUGGAAAGUUUGGCUUUCAGUGUGGGUAGAUGUCGCUUGAAUUUUGGCAGCAGCCUCCUGUAGGUGGCGAUCUCCAUCUCCAAGUUCUGUUUGAUGCGCAAAAGCUGUUCGUAUUCGGUCUUGUUGCGUUGCAUGUCCAAACGCAGCUGAGACAGCUCGUCCUCCAGCUGGGUCAGCGUGAUCUGAAGACGCUCCAUCUCCACAGAAUAUUUAUGGCCCGUUUCGCCCAGGUUUCCCUCCAACACUGCCACCUGUUAACAUGCCGGAAGCAAAGGUCACAGAACAUACCAUCAACACGAUGUGAAAACCAGCAGCAGUGGGUGUAUCCUUCAUCUUGCCAACUGCAUGCUCUUCAGAGACAGACUUUGUCUCUGUGAUAUGGACAAUCUGUCACAUGCACUCACUGACAGCACCGUUGUCAGUCUCCUGUGGGUGCCUGAGCACCGUGGGAAUGGGACUCUUAUUUCGCACGCCUGACAGAAAGGUCAUUUAUUCACAUUGCUUUGCAGUCUGACGCUCCCAUGUGAACCCUCACGGGCAAGUCAAUGAAAGAAACCUCUGUGUGACACUCACUUGACCCUGAAGUCGUCAGCUGCCAGCUUGGCAUUGUCAAUCUCCAGCAUUAAACGAGCAUUUUCCAGCGUUUUCUUUCUCACCUGGGCAGAGGAACAUGGAAAGUUAGUUCAGAUUUGGCACAGGCACUGAUUUGACUUGGAGGACAUUUUGUUACUGUCAAACCAAAAUGAGAGAGUCACAUUUUUGAUCAUAGACCUAUUUCUUGCAUCCGCUCUCUGUAAAUAUUGUUCAUGUACACCCAACAUGAUAUCCGGUACACAGACAACAUAAAAUAAUAGUCUGUAUUUAUAUAGAGCAUUUAUAAGCAGCGCUUUUUCUAUCCAUACCCAUUCGCAUGCUGCUGGCACUGAUGCCAGCAGCACCUUUGGGGUUAAGAGUCUUGCCCAGAGACCUGCAUGUAGAUUAGAGCAGGGUUUCUCAAUCCUGAUCCCCGGGACCCGCUGCCCUGCCUGUUUUAGAUGUUUCCCUGUUCCAACACACUCAAUGAAAAUAGUCAGCUCAUCAUCAAGCUCUGCAAAAGCCUGGUAACAACCUAUUUAUUUGAAUCAGGUGUGAUGGAGCAGGGAAAGCAUCCAAAACAUGCAGGGCAGUGGCUCCCGAGGACCAGGAUUGAGAAACCCUGUAUUAGAGGAGUCAGGGAUCAAACCAAGACCCUUCAGUUGGGAGAUGAUCCACUCUACCACUGCUCUCAGAUCGAGUAACCUGAGAGACGGCAAUCACGGGACAGUUGAGAGAAAGCGAGUGCUCCUAUUUGCUGUUUCACAACAGUUACUCAACAUACAGGUUUCUUUGGUGGACAUAUCGUGACUCCAGCACCAGCAAUGACUGCCUAUGCUGCAAAUAAACCUAGAAAUGAAAAGAGUCUAAAAGAGAAUUGGACAAUAAUUGCUGUGCCACAUGUUAUCUGUCAUGUAUUAAAUGAGUAUGUAUUUUUACAACCUGUGGAUGAAACGCAACACUAUUUAUCUAGUAAUCCUACUGCAGCUUUAAAGGUACAGUGUGUAAAAUUUGGAAGCAUUUAUUGGUGAAGUUGCAUGUUGCAGCUGAAUAUCCCUGUCCCUUCCAAGUGAGCCUUCAUUUAGACAUUAAAAACAUGGGGGGUCCAAAAAAAAAGUCCUCCAUAGAGCUGACCCAGCUCCUAAUGUAAAUAUAAAAGGCUCAUUCUGGGGUCAUGAAAAACAAGGUGAUUCUACACUGAUACAAUCUAAAUAUCAUCAUCAAUUUCUGCAAAGCAUCAAGAUUUUACACUCUGGAACUUUAAGAUGUUCAAAUAUAUAAAGUCAGCACGUGGGUCAUUUUUUGGACACUGACCUCCUGCCCAAUGGCAUGUGCCUGAGCCAUCAUCCCCUCAAUGUCGUGUCCUUUGGGAGCUUUCUCCAGCAUGAGCUGUUUGAUCUUCACCUCCAGUUCAGCGUUGGACCUCUCCAGU